GAUGAACGCUGGCGGCGUGCCUAAUACAUGCAAGUCGAGCGAACGGACGAGAAGCUUGCUUCUCUGAUGUUAGCGGCGGACGGGUGAGUAACACGUGGAUAACCUACCUAUAAGACUGGGAUAACUUCGUGAAACCGGAGCUAAUACCGGAUGAUAUUUUGAACCGCAUGGUUCAAAAGUGAAAGACGGUCUUGCUGUCACUUAUAGAUGGAUCCGCGCUGCAUUAGCUAGUUGGUAAGGUAACGGCUUACCAAGGCAACGAUGCAUAGCCGACCUGAGAGGGUGAUCGGCCACACUGGAACUGAGACACGGUCCAGACUCCUACGGGAGGCAGCAGUAGGGAAUCUUCCGCAAUGGGCGAGAGCCUGACGGAGCAACGCCGCGUGAGUGAUGAAGGUCUUCGGAUCGUAAAACUCUGUUAUUAGGGAAGAACAUAUGUGUAAGUAACUGUGCACAUCUUGACGGUACCUAAUCAGAAAGCCACGGCUAACUACGUG
rnacentral:rRNA from 1 species